CUGCAACCGGUGAAAGGGAGCCACUGGAAGCCUUUCUGACCAGAAGACAACUCAUUAUUGCUAAAUUCUUCAAGAUGGGUGAAGAGGACAACAACAGAGAAAAACAAGAAACCUCAUCUGACUCUUGUUUGGAGGAAGUGUCAACAUCCAUAACAUCUUUUUUAAUAUCUGACUCUGAAGAAGACUUUGAUAUACCUUCUAAGAAAUCUUCAUCCAUCUCAAGUUCUAUAAUGGGGAGUGAUCCGCAGAAUAAACCAUGCUCACAGGCUUCUGAAGCACAAAUAUCCGGACAAUCUUUCACAAACCUCAGAGCUGAAGAACAAGGACGAUCCAACGAAACUACACUUAUAACAUCUUUCACUGAACCUGCAAAGUUUGAUUCAAAAAUAGAUGAGUUAAUUGCUCAGCAGAAGGACACCAAUGAAAUUCUCGAAAAUAUGCGCAGUGAAAUUCACCGACUUGUGAAUGAGCAGAGAAAAAUGUGUCGCUUUUUGAAGAAAAACUUUGUAGUGCAACAAAAAUCCAUAAUGUCUACUCAGAAGAUGGCAAGAGACCACCAAAAUAUUUUGGAUCUUUCAUUAAAAAAUCUUCAUAAUAAAAUAGAUGAGCUGAACAACACUGCAUGUGAAAAAAGCUUAUAGGGUUUACUGUCCAGUGAUGAGUCAGAUGCAUCUACGCCUCAAAAAAAGGGAAAUGGGAAGAGGAAAAAAAAGAGAACAGGAGGAAGCCCAUCUUUUAUCCUGUCUAAAAAACAAGCAAAAAACUAAUAAUAGCACAGCGUAUGUACUUUUCAAUUCUUUCUUUUAAAAUGACUUUGGAUAUUCACUAUACACCUCUGUGCCUACAUCUACUAUAUGAGUCACAUAACAACAUUAGUGGCAGAGACUUAAUUAGGAACCACUGUGCCAAGGUGCAAAACUGGAGACUGAACUGCUUUCUGCCCCAUGUAUGCCAAGCUCCAUGCACUUCUAUACACACAUAUUCAAAGCUCCAAAUCCUGCGACUGAUGUAUUCCAAAUGUUUCUUUUGGAUCCUAAAAACAUAAUUAAAAUGGUAUUCCUCCCUUGCUGUUCUUAAAUAUAUUUAAAAAAUUAUAUAUUUACAAGAGUUGGCAAACAAGUCCUAAUUUUAUCAUAAAAAAAACUUUUAGAGACUCUUAAAAUAUUUUUAAAGUUAUCUUACCUUUAGCUCAAAAUACUUCUGCCAUUAUGGGCGAGGUCUGGCGAACAUGUGGGUGAUCCAACAAUUCAAAUCCAGAUUCAGCAAUAGUAGCCAUGGCAACAAAGGACUUAUUGUGUUGGUGGAAAAGGACGUUCUGACUCAUCUUACUUCGUCUCUUCUCCUGAAAUGCUUUGCUAAAUUUCCAGUAAAGUUGGCAUUGUAGUCACCUCUUAUAGUCUCUCCUUGCUGUAGGAAGUAAAUCAUCAAAAUUCCCUUUGCAUCCCAAAACAUAUUAUUUGGAUGCAAUAUAUACAAGAGUGGGGGGGGGGUGCAACUGAGCCUCCAUUGCUUGAACUGCUUUUUUUUGUUGCAGAAUCAAAGUGCUGUAUUUACAAUUCAUCCCCAGUGACAAAUCACUUACAAAGUCAUAAAGAUUCCUUUGAAUACUUAUUAGAAAUGUUCUGGUCUGCAGUAAAUAUUUAGUUGCCCUGACAAUUUUCUCAUGUUCAAAACAUACAUUUCCAUUGACUGUGGACCCAGCUAUUUUGCAUAUAGUCAAUCUAUGCUCAACUGUUAUCAUGUCAUGAACUUACUCAGUGGCUUCUUCAGUGGCAGCUGUUCCUGAGCCACCAGUGGGAGAGGCAUCUUCACAGCUUAAAUUAUCUACUGUUGUAAUCAUCAUAAUGCUGCAUGCAUAGAUUGGGAAACAUUGGCCGAUAUCACUAUUGGAUUAGACAUAUAACCUGGUUUCACAAGUUAGUAACAUGGUACAUUCAGGUUUUGGAGCCCCAGAGGCCUUUAUCCAUAUUAUAUGAACCUAUAUUUGUAUCCAAGUGAGAAACUUGGAGAUAAAGCACCAUUAGCAUUGGAACUGCUUGUAGUUUAUGCCUAGGGAAGUAAUCCGACCAAAGAAGCAACUUUAUAUCUGAUAGCACUUUAUGAGUCCCUAGGGGGCGAUUUAUUAAAUGGAGGGCGGACAUGAUUCACUGUAGUGAAUCAUGUCCGUCUGACAUCGCUAAAUGCCAACAGCAUACACUGCCGGCAUUUACCAUUGCACAAUUUGCGGACAAUCGGCCACUAGCAGGGGGUGUCAAUCAUCCCAAUCGUACCUGAUCAGAAUGAAUGAAGUAUAAGGAGCAGCAGUCUUACGACCGCUGUUCCUUAAAGGGACACUGAACCCAAUUGUUUUCUUUCAUGAUUCAGAUAGAGCAUGCAAUUUUAAACAACUUUCUAAUUUACUCCUAUUAUCACAUUUUCUUUGUUCUCUUGCUAUCUUUAUUUUUUUUUAAAAAGGGAUCUAAGCUUUUUUUUUUGGUUCAGUACUAUGGACAGCACUUUUUUAUUGGUGGAUGAAUUUAUCCACCAAUUAGCAAGGACAACCCAGGUUGUUCACCAAAAAUGGUCCGGCAUCUAAACUUACAUUCUUGCAUUUCAAAUAAAGAUACCAAGAGAAUAAAGAAAAGUUGAUAAUAGGAGUAAAUUAGAAAGUUGCUUAAAAUGUCAUGCUCUAUAUGAAUCACAAAAGAAAAAAAUGUGGGUUCAGUGUCUCUUUAACUUAAGUUUCUGGCAAGACGGAAACUACGGGGGUAGAUUACAGCAUCUGCUGCUUGGUAAAUCUACCCCCUAGACUUGUACUGUGUUUGCCUUGUUGAACGAACCAGAGUUUUAUAGCUGUCACCCCUAGACAGCUCUACAUACUUAGUAAUUACAUGGCUCUCUGACUUUCCAACUCUCAAGAUCAGUGUUAUCACUGACUUUCAUUAGCUCUAUAGAUUUCUCACCGCAGGUUCUGAUUGACUGUAUUAAACAGAAGUGACUUAACCAUAACCAGCUAUUUCAACUGAAAAGAUAAACCUAACGUAUACAUUCCCAACACAUUUUCCAGUAGUGUCCCUUUAAGGAAAAUACAGUAAUUAUAAAUCAUUCCAAAGAAACUAAAACAAGUCAUCACUUUUCUUAUUCUUGUUGCUCGUCCACCAGUCAAUAUAAGAAGAUCUCAUUGUGGAUAAAGGUCAAGCCGGACACUUUUUACAAGGCACAGACUUUAUACGCUUCGUUCUCACCAUCAGUGGUGUUAUAUGUAAUCACAAGAUUGGCCAUGAAAUAAAAUCACUACAGCCAGUACCAAAAGACACUAAAUAACAUUUUAUGUAGAACAAACACUAAAACAAACACUUAAAGGUCCAUUAUGCACCACAUUUUUCUCUGCAUAAAUGACUUGUAGAUGAUCCAUUUAUAUAGCCCAUCUGGGAGUGUUUUUGUAACAAUGUAUAGUUUUGCUUAUUUUUUAAUAACAUUGUGCAGAUUUUCAGACUCCUAACCAAGCCCCACAGUAUCAGAAGUAGACGCGCUUUUCCAGUCUACUGCUGGCUUCUGUUUGUAUAAUCUGUCUUUUCAUAUGCAGGGAAUGGAGGGGUAUCUGCAAUUUAGCCACUUUCCCUGGGUGUUCCUGCUUAUCUAAUCAACAGUGCUAAACUUGGAGCUUCUAAGUAAGUUUUAUACUGGAUUUUUAUAUCAGUAUCUGUGCAUCGUAUUCUUUAUAGUAGUGUCUAUUACAUGCGGUUAAAUGAAAAUUGGUGUAUACUGUCCCUUUAAUGACUUGAGUAUUUUCUCUAUAAAUUUACCAUUUUGUUUUUGGAAACUAAGCUAGAUUCACAGUAGAAAAAUCCCAGCAAUCCCACAGGAAAUAAAUAUGUGAGUUGUUAUUGUUCUGAUUGAGACUAUGGAACACUUAACUAGAUAUGUCUCUUUGUGAGCAAAGAGCUGUGUUUAGUACAGGGAUAGGCACAGACAAAAGCUGUGGCGGACAUUUUCCAAAGUACAGACCUUAGUGAAGGACACCAAGGUACAUUUGAAAUUAAAAACAUUAUUUUAUAGUGCUUGGUGUUAUUAUACUGAUGCAGAUACCACUGAUCCUAUAACCAGCCCUCCUCUGGCUAUACCCAUGUGCCAGUGUCCCUACUGUGUCAUUAUAUAGUGCUUGGUGUUAUUAUACUGAUGCAGAUACCACUGAUCCUAUAACCAGCCCUCCUCUGGCUAUACUCAUGUGCCAGUGUCACUACUGUGUCAUUAUAUAGUGCUUGGUGUUAUUAUACUGAUGCAGAUACCACUGAUCCUAUAACCAGCCCUCCUCUGGCUAUACUCAUGUGCCAGUGUCACUACUGUGUCAUUAUAUAGUGCUUGGUGUUAUUAUACUGAUGCAGAUACCACUGACCCUAUAACCAGCCCUCCUCUGGCUAUACGCAUGUGCCAGUGUCACUACUGUGUCAUUAUAUAGCGCUGGGUGUCAUUAUACUGAUGCAGAUACCACUGAUUCUAUAACCAGCCCUCCUCUGGCUAUACGCAUGUGCCAGUGUCACUACUGUGUCAUUAUAUAGUGCUGGGUGUUAUUAUACUGAUGCAGAUACCACUGAUUCUAUAACCAGCCCUCCUCUGGCUAUACCCAUGAGCCAGUGUCACUACUGUGUCAUUAUAUAGUGUUGGGUGUUAUUAUACUGAUGCAGAUACCACUGAUUCUAUAACCAGCCCUCCUCUGGCUAUACCCAUGUGCCAGUGUCACUACUGUGUCAUUAUAUAGUGCUGGGUGUUAUUAUACUGAUGCAGAUACCACUGACCCUAUAACCAGCCCUCCUCUGGCUAUACCCAUGUGCCAGUGUCACUACUGUAUCAUUAUAUAGUGCUGGGUGUGAUUAUACUGAUGCAGAUACCACUAAUCCUACAACCAGCCCUCAUCUGGCUAUACCAAUGAGCCAGUGUCACUACUGUGUCAUUAUAUAGUGCUGGGUGUUAUUAUACUGAUGCAGAUACCACUGAUCCUAUAACCAGCCCUCCUCUGGCUAUACCCAUGUGCCAGUGUCACUACUGUGUCAUUAUAUAGUGCUGGGUGUUAUUAUACUGAUGCGGAUCCCACUGAUUCUAUAACCAGCCCUCCUCUGGCUAUACCCAUGUACCAGUGUCACUACUGUGUCAUUAUAUAGUGCUUGGUGUUAUUAUACUGAUGCAGAUACCACUGAUUCUAUAACCAGCCAUCCUCUGGCUAUACCCAUGUGCCAGUAUCACUACUGUGUCAUUAUAUAGUGCUGGGUGUUAUUAUACUGAUGCAGAUACCACUGAUCCUAUAACCAGCCCUCCUCUGGCUAUACCCAUGUGCCAGUGUCACUACUGUGUCAUUAUAUAGUGCUGGGUGUUAUUAUACUGAUGCAGAUACCACUGAUCCUAUAACCAGCCCUCCUCUGGCUAUACCCAUGUGCCAGUGUCACUACUGUGUCAUUAUAUAGUGCUGGGUGUUAUUAUACUGAUGCAGAUACCACUGAUCCUAUAACCAGCCCUCCUCUGGCUAUACCCAUGUGCCAGUGUCACUACUGUGUCAUUAUAUAGUGCUGGGUGUUAUUAUACUGAUGCAGAUACCACUGAUCCUAUAACCAGCCCUCCUCUUGUUAUACCCAUGAGCCAGUGUCACUACUGUGUCAUUAUAUAGCGCUGGGUGUUAUUAUACUGAUACAGAUACCACUGAUCCUAUAACCAGCCCUCCUCUGGCUAUACCCAUGUGCCAGUGUUACUACUGUGUCAUUAUAUAGUGCUGGGUGUUAUUAUACUGAUGCAGAUACAACUGGUCCUAUAACCAGCCCUCCUCUGGCUAUACCCAUGUGCCAGCGUCACUACUGUGUCAUUAUAUAGUGCUUGGUGUUAUUAUACUGAUGCAGAUACCACUGAUCCUAUAACCAACCCUUGUCUGGCUAUACCCAUGUGCCAGUGUUACUACUGUGUCAUUAUAUAGCGUUGGGUGUUAGUAUAUUGAUGCAGAUACCACUGACCCUAAAACCAACCCUUGUCUGGCUAUACGCAUGUGACAGUGUCACUACUGUGUCAUUAUAUAGUGCUGGGUGUUAUUAUACUGAUGCAGAUACCACUGAUCCUAUAACCAGCCCUUGUCUGGCUAUACGCAUGAGCCAGUGUCACUACUGUGUCAUUAUAUAGUGCUGGGUUUUUAUUAUACUGAUGCAGAUACCACUGACCCUAUAACCAGCCCUUAUCUAGCUAUACCCAUGUGACAGUGUCACUACUGUGUCAUUAUAUAGUGCUGGGUGUUAUUAUACUAAUGCAGAUACCACUGAUCCUAUAACCAACUCUUGUCUAGUUAUACGCAUGUGCCAGUGUCACUACUGUGUCUUUGUAUAGAGCUGGGUGUUAUUAUACAGAUGCAGAUAAAAAUCCAGUAUUUCACUCAGGCUUUUGUUAUUCCAUAACUUAUUACCCAAUAUCGCUAGCAGUCUCUUGACAAACCACUAACUUUAUUCACACUACAUAUUUUUUUUUAUUCCUAUUAUUCAAUCAAAACAUAUACUAAGGUUGUGGCGGACACUGCAAGGGCUAGUCACGGACACCAGUGUUCUUGUACGGACACCUUGCCUAUCCCUGGUUUAGUAGGAUAGCAAACACCCAGGGUAAAUACAUUUGGAUGCAAGGGAUUCUAAAAUACACACUCACAAUACAUUAACACAACAAUGUAUUCAGGCAGCUGAGAUAUUAUUGUGGAUUCUUGAAAAAGGCCUAAGGAAGGGCUGAAACGCGUUGACAUUAUAUGGUAAGCUUCAUUCUGAUUAUUUGGAUAUCAUUUUAGCAGUAUUGCACUAUAUUGUAUCUUUUUCAUUCACAGGAUUUGCACUAAAAGCACCUUAGACUUUGGAUAUAUGUAAAUUGGAUUUUUUCUUCAAUUGCACUUUCUCAGCAUUCAAAUCAUAACUUGAAGACCCAUCACCAAGAAGGAAUAUAACACAUAACAUUUACUAUUUUUAUUUUUAUUUUUAUUUUUUCCACAAGUUUGCACGAAGCACAUAUUUUUUAAUUUUUUGUACUUUGACUUUUGUUUUUCCAAUAUUUGAGUUUUGGCUUUGUUUUUCAACAAACAAUACAUUUUUCACAUUUUUUCUUAAGUUCAUUUUUUAUAUACUUUCACUCAUUGAAUUUUGUCACUCUUUAUGCCUUCCGCUAACUUUGGGAAGGGUCCAAAUAUUAUUUCUUAAGGAUCCAUUAUCAUCUAUCCCUAUAUAUUGGACUAAGAAAUACUCUAACUUGACUAGGAAAAUUUACUUGCCAUCUACAUUAACAGGAUUAUUGCAAUAUAUUGUCAUAAUAUGUUUUAAAUUAUAUGUUUUAAUUUGUUAGUAAUCACAUGGAUCCAUGUUUUUAUUGUAAUUGGAUUUUUCUAUAACUAUAUUUGUCUGUUAGUUUUAUUGUUGAAAAUAAAUGUUAAUAUUUUAAUAUAUAUCCUUAGCCUAUUCAUAGGCGCUCCUUAGAUUCCGCCCAUAUUGUUGUGGAGUACCAGGUCACAUACACUCCAGAAUACAAUUUAAAGUAUUAACCCUAACUUACAAAGCACUCGACAGUCUAACUCCCAACUACAUUUCCUUUCUCAUCUCCAAAUAUUCCCCAUCCCGCCCUCUUCGAUCAACCUCUGACCUACGUUUCUCUACUCCUGUUAUCUCUACAUUCCACUCCCGUCUCCAAGACUUUGCACGUGCUGCUCCUGUCCUCUGGAACUCUCUACCCCACUCCAUAAGACUUUCUCCAACCUUGUAAAGCUUCAGACGCACCUUGAAAACUCACCUAUUCAAAGAGGCUUACCACCUCUCCUCCAUCUCUCAUCCAAACCAAACUAAUACAUGACCUGCCUGACUCACUGCUGCAACUACAACCAAUUUGACAAGCUACCCCAACCUUAUGUCUCUGCCCCCUAAACCUAUAGACUGUGAGCUCUCCGGAGCAGGGCCUUCUUCCUCCUGCACUAGAUUUGUUUAGUUUGUUAUGUUUUGUAUUUUAUCACAAAUCCUUGUCAUUGUAUACCCCUAUCAUUGUACCCAGCGCUACGGAAUUUUGUGGCGCUAUACAAAUAAAUAAUAAGGGUAAUCUAUUAAGGACAUACAUGAUAAUAGUAAACGUAGUAACUAUUAUGGAGCGUGCUUAGUCUGAAACUGCCAUGUUCACAUUUGUAAAAUAAAUAAACUGUUGCUUUGGCAUAUUUGAAUAUAGACACUAGAUGAUAUAUUAUGUGUACGUAUAUCUCUGACACACAAGCUCUGGGUUCUUGCAUUUAUCUAUGAAUGUGCAUAACUUUUAACAGCAUUUAGUGUCGUUUUUGCUACCAGCCUUGUGUGGCCUUUGAUUUGUAAUACUAGUAUAUGUAAUUUCCAAACAUAUUUCUGAAUAAAUUGAUUUGUAAUAAAGUGUAAAA